GACGAACGCUGGCGGCGUGCCUAAUACAUGCAAGUCGAACGCAGUGGGGACGGGUGAGUAACACGUGGGUAACCUCCCAUCAGAGGGGAUAACACUUGGAAACAGGUGCUAAACCGAUACUGAUGGAUGGACCCGCGGUGCAUUAGCUAGUUGGUGAGGUAACGGCUCACCAAGGCCACGAUGCAUAGCCGACCGGAUAGGGGGAUGGGCCACCCGGGGACGGAGAAAGGGCCCAAACUCCUACGGUAGGCAGAGGUGGGGAAUCGUCGGCAAUGGACGAAAGUCGAACCGAGCAACGCCGCGUGAGGGAAGAAGGUUUUCGGAUCGUAAAACUCGGUUGUUAGGGAAGCGGUAUCUAACCAGAAAGCCACGGCUAACUACGUGCCAGCAGCGGCGGUAAUAC
rnacentral:rRNA from 1 species